rnacentral:rRNA from 1 species
CCUACGGGUGGCAGCAGUGAGGAAUAUUGGUCAAUGGACGAGAGUCUGAACCAGCCAAGUAGCGUGAAGGAUGACUGCCCUAUGGGUUGUAAACUUCUUUUAUAAAGGAAUAAAACGAGGCACGUGUGCCUUUUUGCAUGUACUUUAUGAAUAAGGAUCGGCUAACUCCGUGCCAGCAGCCGCGGUAAUACGGAGGAUCCGAGCGUUAUCCGGAUUUAUUGGGUUUAAAGGGAGCGUAGAUGGGUUGUUAAGUCAGUUGUGAAAGUUUGCGGCUCAACCGGAAAAUUGCAAUUGAUACUGGCAGUCGUGAGUACAGUUGAGGUAGGCGGAAUUCGUGGUGUAGCGGUGAAAUGCUUAGAUAUCACGAAGAACUCCGAUUGCGAAGGCAGCUUACUAAACUGCCACUGACAUUGAUGCUCGAAAGUGUGGGUAUCAAACAGGAUUAGAUACCCUUGUAGUC